rnacentral:sRNA from 1 species
AUGUACCCCUCGUACACGCCGCUUACUCCGUGCCGUCCACACCCGCCUGACGACUGCGCGCAACGUUUUGUUGGCU